AAAAUUUUUUUAACGUUUUUAAAACAGCUCUUAAAGUUUUAACAUUUUUUUCAUUCUUUGAAUAUAAUUUUGCUUGGUUAGGUUACAAAGUUAUAUUCAAAAAGACAAAAAAUGUUUUAAAAAACUUGAUUUCGUCUUCUUAAAACAGUAUAUUCAUUAAAAAAAAAAAAAAUUCCUAUAAAAUUUCAUAUAAAAAUUAUUCAUUAAAAAAUAUUCGAAUAAAAAAUUAAAUAUGAAUAUUUUCUUUACUAAGCAAUAUAUUCAUACACGUGUACUUUAAAUCGGGUGGAGAAGCUAACAUACAUGUAUCAAGUAAGUACACGUUCAUCGUUAUCGAAUAAAAAUCCACGAGAAACAGCGAACAGCUUAAGAACAGGUUAAGUAUUGCGCUUCCGGCCGUUCGAACGGAAGUGAACGCAUUGCGCGAAUAUGGAUGCGCGAGGAACGAGAAGGAAAAGUGGCUGUGAUGUGGCAUCGCGCUGAGAAAGGGAGGUACGAGGUGACACGGUCCGGUAUACUAUAUCGUGCUUUAUCGGCCGUAACACAGAGCGAACUGGAAUGAGAAAGAGAAACGCGAAUUCGAGUGUAAGUAGUGCGUUAUACCGUGGCGCUCUCUACUCAUAGGAUGUACACGCCACAUUACUCUGUACACAAGUAAAUACACAUACAACGAAAUAAUAUAUGGCGGUUAUAUCGUUAACGUUCAUUCUUGCCAUCACUGCAUAUAAUACUAUAAUAUCCACAAUGAUGAGGAGAGUGAAAGAGAUUGACUAGGCACGAGCUACGAUGCGAUCUAAAUGUGCUCUGAGCGUUUUCUCUGCUUGUUAUAAUUGCGUGUUGAGGGAUUGGAAUAGGAAAUGGACGGAUAAUAAUUACAUAAAGAAGUAGAAGCAACGAUGGAAAAACGAGUGGAUGAAUCAACAGCAUGAAAAUUCAAUUGGAUACAAGUAGGGAAAAUUAGCGGGCAGAAAGAGAAGUGGUGAAAGAAUGUAGCUGCGAUAAAGGAAGAUAGAAGAAUGUGACAGAGAAAGGCAAAAAAUAUACAUAUACAUAUAUGUAUAUACACACAUAUGUAUAUAUAUAUAUAUAUAUAUAUAUAGAGCUGCAGCAAAAGCCUGAGCCACCUGCAGAGUUUUUCCGCUACUUCCAGUUGUCCGCGCCUCGUGGCCUCCUUUUCUUAAAUUAAACACAGAAAAUUAAAGAGCGGGGUAAGAGAAACAAGGGAUAUUUCGAGAAAUAAAUUCUUCGUAAUAACUCCUUUACUCGAUUUGAUAAACGAAGAUUUAAAGAUUGCAUAACAAUGAAGUCAUGAAACAUUCAACAACGGUGAAAUCAUUAUCUAUAAAUAUCUAUCCCCGUUUGGGAACGUAACGAAAGAGGCAACAUCCACUCAAGGAGGAGGGAAAAAACGCGCCGAAAAAAUUAUUUAUAAACAUCGACAAUGAAAGAAAUAUAUUACAGCAAAUUUCGUUCAAAUGUACAAAAAAAAAAAAAAAUCAAAAUUCAUUACCUUGCCUCUUCUUAAUUUAAACGCUAAGAAUCUAUUAUCUGAUUAACCGAUGUCACAAUGAAAUAUUAAAUAUUAAUUUUAUUAAAGAAUAUUUUCAAUAAUUCUAAAAAAAAAAAUCCAUUUAUUCUAAUAAUAUUUAAAAAAGAAAAAUAAUAAGAACGGGAGAAAAAAAAAUUUUAUCAUAAAAUUAUGGCAUCGUUCCGUUCGAUAUUCAAGAGGAGAGAUAAAAAAAGAACGAAGAAACGAUACGGCCGCGUCAUAAACUUCAUCGUUCCACCGCAAUUAUGCUCGUAUCCUUCACACUCGAUCGAGACUCGAUCAUUCCGUGGUAACGUGACCGUCUCGUAUAUCCUCGAAUCUUCGCAGAACGAACAAACAACCGGGCGUGCAUAAAAAAAGAAAAGAAAAGAAAAAAAAAAA